rnacentral:rRNA from 1 species
GACGAACGCUGGCGGCGUGCUUAACACAUGCAAGUCGAACGAAGUGGCGAACGGGUGAGUAACGCGUAAUAAACGUGCCCUUCAGAGGGGGACAACAGUUGGAAACGACUGCUAAUACCGCAUACUGAAGGGGGGGAGUGCGUCUGCUUAGCUAGUGGGCGGGGUAACGGACCACAAAGGCGAUGAUCAGUAGCCGGUCUGAGAGGAGGAACUGCCACAUUGGGACUGAGAAACGGCCCAGACUCCUACGGGAGGCAGCAGUGGGGAAUCUGCCGCAAUGGACGAAAGUCUGACGGAGCAACGCCGCGUGAGUGAUGACGGCCUUCGGGUUGUAAAGCUCUGUUAAUCGGGACGCGGUACCGGAAUAGAAAGCCACGGCUAACUCCGUGCCAGCAGCCGCGGUAAUAC